rnacentral:rRNA from 1 species
UACGUAGGGUCCGAGCGUUGUCCGGAUUUAUUGGGCGUAAAGAGCGUGUAGGCGGCCAUGUAGGUCCGGUGUGAAAACUCGAGGCUUAACCUCGAGAUGUCAUCGGAAACCAUUUGGCUAGAGUCCGGAAGAGGAGAGUGGAAUUCCUGGUGUAGCGGUGAAAUGCGCAGAUAUCAGGAAGAACACCAAUGGCGAAGGCGGCUCUCUGGGACGGUACUGACGCUGAGACGCGAAAGCGUGGGGAGCGAACAGG